rnacentral:rRNA from 1 species
GAUGAACGCUGGCGGCGUGCCUAAUACAUGCAAGUCGAGCGAAUGGAUUAAGAGCUUGCUCUUAUGAAGUUAGCGGCGGACGGGUGAGUAACACGUGGGUAACCUGCCCAUAAGACUGGGAUAACUCCGGGAAACCGGGGCUAAUACCGGAUAACAUUUUGAACCGCAUGGUUCGAAAUUGAAAGGCGGCUUCGGCUGUCACUUAUGGAUGGACCCGCGUCGCAUUAGCUAGUUGGUGAGGUAACGGCUCACCAAGGCAACGAUGCGUAGCCGACCUGAGAGGGUGAUCGGCCACACUGGGAAUGAGACACGGCCCAGACUCCUACGGGAGGCAGCAGUAGGGAAUCUUCCGCAAUGGACGAAAGUCUGACGGAGCAACGCCGCGUGAGUGAUGAAGGCUUUCGGGUCGUAAAACUCUGUUGUUAGGGAAGAACAAGUGCUAGUUGAAUAAGCUGGCACCUUGACGGUACCCAACCAGAAAGCCACGGCUAACUACGUGCCAGCAGCCGCGGUAA